AAAUGUAAUUCUAAAUUACUAAAAAUGUAAUUCUAAAUUAAUAAAAAAUAAAAAACUGAAUUGGAUUUUUUUUUAUCCAUCUUGUCUAUUUAAAUCUAACUUUUAAUAUUACCAAAACUCUCUGUGUAAUUAAUACACCCAAAAGCAAAUAAUUAAACUUGUAUCAACUAAUUUGUGCUUCAUUUUAUAUUCCCCACUACAUGCAUAUUGACCAAAUAUAAUAUAACAAUAAUAAAAAACUAAGUUUUAAAGAAAUCACUUACACGCAGGCACAUAUGCACAGCAACUGUGCAUACACAAGGCAGUUUGUCUGGUUCUUUAUAUCAUCUGUUGCAAAAAUAUACAGUUUGUGAAAAGGAAAAAUUAAUGAAACCAAGAUCUUCAAGUCCAACCUAUUUUUGUCCACCUUUACUUCAAGAAAGGGCAAAUAAAAUUAAGAAAAAUGUAGUAAUCUCCUCCUAGUACCAAAAUAAUGGACAUUCCUGAACCUGACAAUCUUCUUUGUUUCGGUUUAUGAACUCAGGAAAUAAGGUCGAAUGGUGACAGUCACAUUAACAAAAAGACAUAUUGAGAAAAAAAUAUAAUAUAUUUCACACUCCUCAUACAACCUUCAGCGGAAGAAUAUUGACAGUUGCCGAAAUCCAAAGCUCACAAUACACUACGUGUAAAGUGAAACUAUAUGUUUUUAUGUCUUAUAUCCUAUAUACUAAAAGCCAUGAGGUAUCGAUGGUAUGUAGUAUUUAAGUGCUAGCAAAAUAUCAAGUGCUUAUGAUGUAAUUUUAAGAAUAUAAUUAAUUAAUUAAUUAAUGACAUAAAAUGAGUUUCAAAUGCUACUGUUUAUUAAUGCUAACAUAAUU